UACGUAGGGCGCAAGCGUUGUCCGGAAUUAUUGGGCGUAAAGAGCUCGUAGGCGGUGUGUCACGUCGGCCGUGAAAACCUGCAGCUUAACUGUGGGCGUGCGGUCGAUACGGGCAUCACUGGAGUUCGGCAGGGGAGACUGGAAUUCCUGGUGUAGCGGUGAAAUGCGCAGAUAUCAGGAGGAACACCGGUGGCGAAGGCGGGUCUCUGGGCCGAUACUGACGCUGGAGGAAGCGAAAGCGUGGGGAGCAAACAGG
rnacentral:rRNA from 1 species